rnacentral:lncRNA from 1 species
UUUUGAUAAAAUAUAUCCAUAUUCCCUCCUGUAGGUUCAUUGGAGAAGAAUCGAACCAUUUAUCGUGCAAGCCUACCGACAGGGACCAAGUCCAAGCAUCUUCCAAAGCAUUCAGGAUCUGUACACCGCUGCAGAAAAUCUCACCAACCAUGCCAAAGGUUCCCUCUCAUCAACAUCAGCAGCGAUCUCUGCAUCGUCAAAGACAACAUCAUUGUCCUCAUCAAUGAAAUUAGCAUCAUCAUCAUCAUCAUCAUCAUCUUCUCGAGUUGCAGCUUUCGCACGAUGCAUGUUAUCCAUGGGAACCCCUCCAUGGCUGUGUUCGAUAGCCCUCCACGAAGCAGUGAGGAGAGGAUGCGCUCUGGAGGAGAGGAGUAGGGCCUUGACGACAGUGCUACAGAUGGUUGCUAGGGACAGUCAGGACAACAAAGAAGUCUGUGUAAGCCUGUUGGAGUGUGUCGUUGCUGAAGAGGCUUGCAAUGUCCUUAGUGGGAAGAGCUGUCAGCAGCAGCAGCAUAUUGCAUCUCAAACAAUCACCCAACAUAUAACCUUUCUGAUACAACUCUUACAAACCCCAACAGUGCUGCAGAAUUCGGAAGUCUCAAGGUCUGUAGUCCAACUCUAUCCACUGGCCAUUAUGAGGUAAGAAAUACAGUUGAUGAAUAGGUAAAUUAGGCAUGAAUCUGUUUGUAUGUGUCUGGUCAUUCUGUGAGCUGUCCAGUUACAGGAUUUACUUGUAGCUACAUAUUUGCUACUUUUAAAUACUAUAUUUAAAAAACCCUCUGUGUUUAACAAUGAAUAUACCACUGUCUUAAACAUCUUGUGCAUUUCAUUCAUAUGAAUUUCUUUAGAUUUUUAUCAUGACUUAUCAAAGUUGACCAAGACCAUGAUAACAUUUGAAGAGAGGUUUUAUCAAAUUAGUUAAUAGAAUUUUGCCACAAGAUUUCAUUUACAAAUUGUUCGCAAAAUGUUGUGGGCAAGUAUAUAAUUAUGACAUGUGAAUUUUCAGGUAAUCUUGUCAGUUUAGAACCAAGACAAUGUAAUCUAAAAAUAAUCCCUCCCUUACCUCCCUAAAAAGGGAAACUAAGAUUGAUUCAUGUGAUUUGGUUUUCAUUCUAAUUUAUUGUUGUUGUUGCCUUUUCAAUGUUUUAUCUUGAUACACAGGAGUUUUCUACCAAUCCGAAGUCAGAUGCAGCCCCUGCUUUCCCAGCAUCCUCAGCUGAUGGAAGUCUUGCUGGAGACCCACAAUGCACUGGGGGAUUUGUACUGCCGCUCUGGAGGGGAGCCAUUGCAACCAACCAGGGGACUUAGAAGAAGUGUCAAACCAGACAAGGGUGAUGUUCUGUCCACUGACUUUAUGUUAGCAUGCUCCCGAUUCCUUCAAUCCUGCAUCUCAGUAUGUCCUCCUGGAAACCUGAAGAGGAUAAGGGCAGAUUUCAUGGCUACUUGCAAUGAGGAACUUAGAGCAACGAUAAGACGAUCUACCUUGGACAGGAGAUGAUGAUUAGCCUCCUGUUCUCCCAGCCCCGCGUCUCAAUAUGUCUCGCAAACCUGAAGAGGAUUAGAGUAGCGGUCGUGGCUACUUGGGAUGGAGAACUUACAGCAACGUUAAGACGAUAUAUCCAGGAAAUCAGAUGAUGAUUCUUGGUUCUAGUGCUGGGUCUACCACUUUGUGCAGUCCUGCAUGUCCUCGAGUUAACUUAACCUGUUGACUGCUGGAUUGUCAAAGUCCCAUAGGCUUAAUACAGGGAUCACCCAGUUCCCGUAGGCAACGGGUUACGAAGGAUCAAAGCCUAGAGAUGUAUACAGGCAUGCUCCUACUUUCUCCACCCAGUCCUGUCUCUUGGUGAGUUCUCCUGCCAGCCAUGGGGAGAUCAAUGCUGAGAUGCUAACUAAACCAUGCACGCACCAAGGCAUCAACAAGUAGAUGAUAAACUUGUGACAGGAGAUGAUUAUUGGCCAGUGCUGGCAUCAAACUCUUUCUUCCUUUAGUCCUUUAUUUAUCUAUCUAUCGAGGUAUCUUCUCCCAGUUCGGAAGUCGAUUGCAAUAUUUUCCCAUACAUCUCUGUUUUCUGCAAUCCUAGUAGACUCAUUACCUCAAAAUGUCAGACUCUUGCAAUGAGUCGUAUGAUUCAUAAAUGUACAUAUAAUACUGGUGAUGAAAAUGAAACAUAUGAUACUGGUAAUAAUGAUGAAGAUGAGAUAAAGGAUAUUAGUGAUGAUUAAGAAGAAGAUGAAAUAUUUAUUGGAUUACGGAAAGAAGGAGUUCUAACUCCAGUAUGUCCCGUUGUAUAUAGUCCUUGAUAAAUCAAAGUUUUAUUCAAUAUCUUUAGCAGGAUAUACUUGAUACGGUUGAACACAAAUGAUCCCCUCGC